GACGAACGCUGGCGGCGUGCUUAACACAUGCAAGUCGAACGGAAAGGCCCUGCUUUUGUGGUGUGCUCGAGUGGCGAACGGGUGAGUAACACGUGAGCAACCUGCCCUUGACUUUGGUAUAACUUCAGGAAACUGGGGCUAAUACCGGAUAGGAGCUCCUGCUGCAUGGUGGGGGGUGGAACUUUUCGGCUGUUGGGGAUGGAACCGCGGCUUACCAACUUGCUGGUGGGGUAGUGGCCUACCAAGGCUUUGACGGGUUGCCGGCCUGAGAGGGUGACCGGCCACAUUGGGACUGAGAUACGGCCCAGACUCGUACGGGAGGCAGCAGUGGGAAAUAUUGCACAAUGGGCGGAAGCCUGAUGCAGCAACGCCGCGUGCGGGAUGACGGCCUUCGGGUUGUAAACCGCUUUCGCCUGUGACGAAGCGUGAGUGACGGUAAUGGGUAAAGAAGCACCGGCUAACUACGUG
rnacentral:rRNA from 1 species